UACGUAGGGGGCUAGCGUUGUCCGGAAUUAUUGGGCGUAAAGCGCGCGCAGGCGGUCCUUUAAGUCUGAUGUGAAAGCCCACGGCUCAACCGUGGAGGGUCAUUGGAAACUGGGGGACUUGAGUGCAGGAGAGAAGAGUGGAAUUCCACGUGUAGCGGUGAAAUGCGCAGAUAUCAGGAAGAACACCAAUGGCGAAAGCAGCUCUCUGGGACGGUACUGACGCUGAGACGCGAAAGCGUGGGGAGCGAACAGG
rnacentral:rRNA from 1 species